AGUGAUCAUUGGCGGUAGGCUUAACACAUGCAAGUCGAGCGAGGCUAAGAGCCGAGCGGCGAACGGGUGAGUAAUACUUGGGAAUCUGCCCUGGAGUGGGGGAUAACAACCAGAAAUGGUUGCUAAUACCGCAUAAUCCAUAUCGGGAAAGCGCUUAGCGCUCUAGGAUGAGCCCAAGUCUGAUUAGCUAGUUGGGGGGG
rnacentral:rRNA from 1 species